rnacentral:sRNA from 1 species
CAUCUUUCUACUUUUCAAGAGUUCUGAUUUCAUCACUCGUGACUUCACUCAGCCGUUUAUUCAUUGUACUGAUGAUUCUCCAGAUCCAUGUAUAGAAUACGAGCUUGUUCUCCGAAAAUGGUGUGAAUUGAUUCCUGGGGCUGAGUUUCGAUGUUUUGUCAAGGAAAACAAGCUUAUUGGUAUUUCCCAAAGAGACUACACACAAUACUAUGAUCAUAUUUCUAAACAAAAGGAAGAAAUUUGCAGAUGCAUACAAGACUUUUUUAAGAAACACAUACAGUACAAAUUCUUAGAUGAAGACUUCUCACUCUGUCACCCAGGCUGGAGUGCAGUGGUGUGGUCUCAGCUCAUGCAGCCUCCACCUCCUGGGUUCAGUUGUGUUUGAUAUAUACAGAGACAGUAGGGGGAAGGUGUGGCUCAUUGAUUUUAAUCCAUUUGGCGAAGUCACAGAUUCACUGCUGUUCACCUGGGAAGAACUGAUAUCUGAGAACAACUUAAACGGCGAUUUUAGUGAAGUAGACGCUCAAGAGCAGGAUUCCCCAGCUUUCCGUUGCACAAACAGUGAAGUGACAGUCCAGCCUAGCCCCUAUUUGAGUUACCGGCUACCCAAGGACUUUGUAGACCUCUCUACUGGGGAGGACGCUCACAAGCUAAUAGACUUCCUUAAGCUGAAGAGAAAUCAGCAGGAAGACGACUGAUGAGUGUGCUGGAGCUGGAGAAGAGGAGGCCCUGCCCCGCCGCUCCGGGAGCUGUUCAUCAGCCGCAACUUCCUGCUGACCCUGAUGCGGGCGGGCCGAACAGUGUGGACAUCAGCCGCUUUUUAUAUUCAUGUACAUUCACCUGGGGAAAAAAACGGAGGGACUUUGCUACUUGUAAAAAUAACAUAAUAA